rnacentral:rRNA from 1 species
UACGUAGGGUGCAAGCGUUGUCCGGAUUUAUUGGGCGUAAAGAGCUCGUAGGCGGUUCGGCAAGUCGGGUGUGAAACCUCCAGGCUCAACCUGGAGUCGCCAUCCGAUACUGCUAUGACUUGAGUCUGGUAGGGGAUCACGGAAUUCCUGGUGUAGCGGUGAAAUGCAUAGAUAUCAGGAGGAACACCGGUGGCGAAGGCGGUGAUCUGGGCCAGUACUGACGCUGAGGAGCGAAAGCGUGGGGAGCGAACAGG